GACCACUACUCCGUGGACAUCGCCAUUCCUCCAGCAGCGCUGCUGCUCUUCUUGCUCUUUCUCUUUAUCCAUCCACAUCCAGUGCGCCGACAAGCCCACCCCAUCAGCGGUGCUCUCCUUCCUCUCAUCUCUAUCCGUGCUCUAGCCACACACCACCCACGCGCCCUUCUUGCUUCAGUCGACGGCUCCUCGUUCCCCUCUCCCUUCCCUCCUCCACAACUAACCAAGCACCGCCCUCUCAUGGUUCACGUUCGUCGGCCGGUUGCAGGCGGCUCCUGUUGGCCGAGCCUGCGCGCGCGGGGGCUGGCUGGGCCGAUGGCUGAGGCGCGGCAAUGGUGGCCUGCUCACGGUCGAGCUCGGCGGCUACUUGACGGGGCCGCGUGGAUCUGCCCCGAGGCUCCGGGCUCCGGAUCUGCGUGGUCAUGUCCACCUCACCCUCCGACGGCGCCUUACUGCGGCGCUUCGGGCCCAGAUCUCGCCGGUUGGCGCGUAGAUGUGCGUGCGCUCGGCUUGAGGUAGCGCAAGGAUGAUGGGGCAGCUUGGAUGGUGGCCCGUGCAGUGUGCGGCUGCCCUCAGAACGCAGGCGUCCCACGAUGACGACGCAGGGGGGUGCAGCAUCUGGUCCAGCAUGGUGCGGAGGCCGGCGGCGACCUCGUGGCUCUCUCAGCAGAACUCGGGCUGCGGCGCGACGCCAAGCCACGCCUGCACUCUGCCGUCAUCUGGACGCAUGCCAUGAUGGUCACGCCCUCAAGCUCCAUGACGGAGGACCAUGGAGGCGCGCGGAGCGAGGCGCAGAGGAACGGAUCUGGUCGCGCAGAGGCCCACUUGCGGGAGAGGCAGGGAGGCGGCCAUGGCAGGUCGUUUUGGAGGGAGGCGUCCAUGGCAUGGGACGGCGGCGGCUGAGCGCAGCGCCGGCGCUCGAGAAGACGACGGACCAUGGAGGCGCGCGGAUCGAGGCGGAGACGCACGGAUCGACGCGGAGACGCACGGAUCUGGCCGCUCCCAGGUCAGAUCUGGCCGCAGUGGAGCUCCACAUCGGGAUCCAUGGUGCUCCAUCGGGAUCCAUGGGCCAGAGACAAGAUUUGUGAGAGAGAGGUCAGGAAGGGAGAAGGGAGACGGGAGAAUAAGAGAGAUAGGGCGCGCGGGAGGAGUUACGGGACGAAGGCUGGAGGUCGGUAGCGGUGGCGCUGGACGCCGGCGUGAGAUGCAAGCCAGAGGGAGAAAACCGUGAGGGAGAAAACCGGGAGGGGGGAAAGAAAAUCAGUGGGACGAGAGGUGGGUCGGGACGGGAGGAAAGAAAAUCGGGAGCGAGGGGGUCGUACGAAAGGCUUGACGAACAUAAGAGGGGAAACGAAACACUACGUUUGUUUUAGAUAGUAGAGAUAGAGAUAUAUAGGUGUGUUGGUUCAGUAUUUUUUUCAGAAUUUUUGAGAACUUUUGCACCGUUUAAACCCUUAUAGAAAAUGCUACUCCUUGUGAAAUAUAUAUAUUAUAACACAUGAAACAAAAUUAAAGAUGCAUACGACUUAUUAUAUUUGAUUAUGUAUAAUUGUAAAAUAUUAUUAAAUAUAAGUAGAAUGAUAGAAUGAAAAAUAUUUCCUCAUGCAUGGUUGCAUGUGGUGAUGGUUCUUUUUCCAUGCAUGAUUGCAUGUUGAGGUGAGCCUUAUCCCAUCAAUAAUUGUAUGGUGAUACGACAUACUUACAUAAUGAGAUAAAUAAAUUAGUGGGGAUCACUUCUUAGGUAUGUAUAGGACAACAGUGCACAAUAUGUGAACACCCUUGACAACACCAUUCGUCAAGUCAAGUAAAGAUUUACAUUAGUGUGUUGCCCAAUAGAACAUCAGACCAUCUUGAAAGGGUGAUUUGUCAGAGGGGCCCUAGAAGCGGUUCCAAGCAAAUGUCUCUUUGUGGCUAUCCUUUUUUUCCUCAGGUCACUAAGGCCAUCUACAACGUUGAGACGUAGGCCAGGUGUGAGGCCUCGAUUCGAUGAUUCCUGGCCAUUAUGGGGGGCGGGGGAUCUCUGUCCUACUAAUUGUACUAACACUGUGAGCAGAGAAGACAACGAGUACAACUUUAAUGCCCGAGAUCAGACCAUAGCAUGGGGAUCUGGUGGGUAUCCCAAUUUGCAACUCCUUUGUAAUCACGGCGCAGUCCAUCUCCAAAGUGACUGGCCGUCUGGCCGUCUGUACACUUUUGCCAGAGCAUUUAGUCCAACCAGUGCUGCUCUGGCAUCCGCCUCAUCAACACCGCUCUUGCCCUCUGUUGUUGUUAAUUGGAGUUCAGAACUGAAAUAUAUUUGCUAUUUUACAGUUCUUGUUUUGGUUCACAAUUUUCAAGUGAGAAACAAAGGGAAAACAAUAGGAAUUAUGUAGGAUAGAACUCAUUCAGAAUUAUUUAUUUCACUGAUGUCUGUAGCAAAGGAAUUGUUGUUCUAUUUUCCUUUGAAAUUCCUAUGGAAUGGACUAUGCCAUAGGAAUUUAGGAGGAAACCAAACAGGAGGUCCUACCUCUCAUGUUUUCUUCUAUUUGUGUCUAAUUAUUUCUGCGUUUUCCUGUGUGACAUCCAAAGGUUAGCUUCACAGAUUUUUUGUGGUUUAGUUCAUGUAGAAAUCUAGGAUAGGCGGCAUCUAAAUUCCUCCGUUCUUCUUAUUCCCAUGUUUUGAAUUCGUAUGUUUCAAAGGGCGCCUUAUAUGAUAAAUAAGCUUGUAUUGUUCAAUGAAUAUGUGGAAUGGUAUGGUGCAAAUGAUUGCCGAAGAGGAUUGCUAUAUGGCGGCCCCAAUCGCUCAUUGAUCAUCAUGAGCCAUGGUCCCAGCUCUUAAUGCAGUAACGCAACCAAGCACAAUGCUAAUGACAGUGCACCGUGUGUGAACACCAUUGACCACACCGUUCUUCAAGUUGAGAUUUACAUUAGUGCAUGACCCAAUAGAACAUCCCACCAUCUUGAAUGGGCGCUUUGUCAAAGAGCUCCUGGAAUCAGUUCCAAGCAAAUGUCACUCUAUGGCUAUCCUAAUUUGUUUCCGUAUGUUACUAACUUGCAACUAGUAGUUGGUCAGUUGUUCUGGAUUGGAG
rnacentral:rRNA from 1 species